rnacentral:rRNA from 1 species
CGGCUUCGGUCGGGGAUUAGUGGCGAACGGGUGAGUAMCACGUGGGCAAUCUGCCCUUCACUCUGGGACAAGCCCUGGAAACGGGGUCUAAUACCGGAUAUGACACGGGGUCGCAUGAUCUCCGUGUGGAAAGCUCCGGCGGUGAAGGAUGAGCCCGCGGCCUAUCAGCUUGUUGGUGAGGUAGUGGCUCACCAAGGCGACGACGGGUAGCCGGCCUGAGAGGGCGACCGGCCACACUGGGACUGAGACACGGCCCAGACUCCUACGGGAGGCAGCAGUGGGGAAUAUUGCACAAUGGGCGAAAGCCUGAUGCAGCGACGCCGCGUGAGGGAUGACGGCCUUCGGGUUGUAAACCUCUUUCAGCAGGGAAGAAGCGAGAGUGACGGUACCUGCAGAAGAAGCGCCGGCUAACUACGUGCCAGCAGCCGCGGUAAUACGUAGGGCGCGAGCGUUGUCCGGAAUUAUUGGGCGUAAAGAGCUCGUAGGCGGCUUGUCACGUCGGAUGUGAAAGCCCGGGGGCUUAACCCCGGGUCUGCAUUCGAUACGGGCAGGCUAGAGUUCGGUAGGGGAGAUCGGAAUUCCUGGUGUAGCGGUGAAAUGCGCAGAUAUCAGGAGGAACACCGGUGGCGAAGGCGGAUCUCUGGGCC